rnacentral:rRNA from 1 species
UACGUAGGGGCCGAGCGUUUGUCCGGAAUUAUUGGGCGUAAAGAGCGUGUAGGCUGUUCGGUAAGUCUGCCGUGAAAACCUGAGGCUCAACCUCGGGCGUGCGGUGGAUACUGCCGGGCUAGAGGACGGUAGAGGCGAGUGGAAUUCCCGGUGUAGCGGUGAAAUGCGUAGAUAUCUGGAGGAACACCGGUGGCGAAGGCGGCAUCCUGGACCAAUACUGACGCUGAGGAGCGAAAGCUAGGGGAGCAAACGGG